rnacentral:lncRNA from 1 species
CAGUCCUGCGAAAGUGCAACUAAAGGCAGAUGUUGGGACUUGGAUUUAACGUCCCUUAUCACAGUCUUCAACAAAAUUUUCAGUGAUACCCACAACAUGCUGCGUGAGUUUUUAACAUGAUUGCUAGAUUUCAGUAGGUUAGGCGUAAUGCUUUUGGUGUCUAGAUGUGCCGUUACAUUAAAAGAGGCAAAGCACCGGAACUUGUAGCCGUUGCCCCUGGCAGAGGUCUGUUUAGCAUAGUGUGACAUUAUUUAUAUCAAAUGUUAAAGUAGCAUGUAGAGGUUGCCUUUGUUAAGGGACUGUACCAGGUGACCUGCACAGUGAACUCUAGGCAGAGCAGGAGUCUGGGUGCUGCCUCCUGUCCGGUUGUGUGAAAAGAGCUGCUCCAAGCAAUCUAGCACCCCCCACCCCUGUAGGUGUCCUGUGCAGUGGUGGGAAUACAUGGUACUGUGGAGAAGGGAGCAGUAUGAGGGGUGUUCUGUAGGAACAGAACUGGCGGCUUAUGACUUGAGGCUUCCUGACUGUGUUUUCAGAUUUCAGGCAACUUGGCUGUACACAGAAGCAGUCCAUCCUGGUAAUAAAAACCUAGGGAUUCCCAACCAUUCAAAAGCCAGUUGCCUUUCUGCUGUUUCUGGUCUGAACCGAAGGUUAAUGGGCAAGUGUUAGGCAUA